rnacentral:piRNA from 1 species
UAGAAGUGGGUGACCCAUUGAGGACAC